rnacentral:sRNA from 1 species
UCCCUUUCAUCAGUCUUCCCGCGUCCACCGAUUCCUCCUCCUUGGUCGCCGCGUCCUUGGCUGGCGUGUGUGUGGAGACCUCCAGGCUGUGCAGCACCUUGGUGGCCACAGCUCUCCAGGAUGUCCUCACCUUCCUCAGGGCCCUGCCCUCCUGACCUGGAGUGUUCUGGAAAGCUCCUCCUGAGCUUGGAUAAACUGCAGGAGCGAAGGGGCUGACCGUUUGUAGGGAUGCAGUUGAAAAAGUCGUUGCGUCCUGCAUGUGCCUGUCGUCGGCGCAAGCGUUGAAGCUCAGACUUGAUCUCUGUUAGGAGAGAUGGGGAUAACGGAGUGACGCCGCCUCGAGCGUGUGGACUCAGCUGCCACCUGGGAUUGUGGUGGUGGCGGGUCUGUCUGGCACUCAGCUUCUGUCUCCACCAAUGUCACCUCCACACCACCUCGCCAAGCAGCUUCUGGAAAGGCCCCCGGCUGGCUCGGGCCGACCUGCUGCUGUGUCUGACCCGGUUAGUCUUUUUGGCUGCCUCUAACCUUGCUGCUUUUCCUUCAUGCUGUCCUAGGAGGCCA